UGCAAGUCGACGCGAAGGGGAGCAAUCCCUGAGUAGAGUGGCAAACGGGUGAGUAACACGUGGGUGACCUGCCUUCGAGUGGGGGAUAACGUCCCGAAAGGGACGCUAAUACCGCAUGACAUCCUGCCCUUGGAUGGGCGGAGAUCAAAGCUGGGGAUCGCAAGACCUGGCGCUUGAAGAGGGGCCCGCGCCUGAUUAGCUAGUUGGUGGGGUAACGGCCUACCAAGGCUACGAUCAGUAUCCGACCUGAGAGGGCGGACGGACACACUGGGACUGAGACACGGCCCAGACUCCUACGGGAGGCAGCAGUGGGGAAUUGUUCGCAAUGGGCGAAAGCCUGACGACGCAACGCCGCGUGGAGGACGAAGAUCUUCGGGUCGUAAACUCCUGUCGAGUGGGAAGAAUGGAUCGGGGGUGAAUAAUCCCCGGUAUUGACGGUACCACUAAAGGAAGCCCCGGCUAACUCCGUGCCAGCAGCCGCGGUAAUACGGGGGGGGGNAAAGCGUUGUUCGGAAUUACNNNNNCGNNAAAGGGCUCGUANGNNGGCCNACUAAAGUCGGACGUGAAAUCCCCAAGGCUCNANCUGGGAACUGCGUCCGAUACUGGAUGGCUUGAA
rnacentral:rRNA from 1 species